rnacentral:lncRNA from 1 species
UUUUUUAUUUUAAUUAAACAUAAAACAAUAAUUGUAGCUUUUAAUGUAGUACAACAUUUUUAAUAUUUAACUUUAACUAAAGUCAGAAAACAUAAUUCUAUUUUAUAACAUAUUUCAUUUUAUUAUUAGUUUUUAAAACAGGCGUACAUACAUCCGCAUGUAUAUUUAUAAACCAAUAUAUGUAAAUGUACAAUGGUAAAAAACUGUUAUAUGGACAAAAAAAAAAAAAAGAAAAUAGCUACAAGUGUUAGUAUGAUAAUUAUCAUGUUCUGAACAAAAUAAAAUGUUUGAAAAAAUGUUUAAAAAAAUGUUUAAAAAAUUGUUUAAAAAAUUGUUUAAAAAAUUGUUUAAAAAUUUGUUUAAAAUUAUUUAAAAAAUUGUUUAAAAUAAUGUGAUAUAUUAUUUGUGGUUGUUUACAGCUCCUCCUGACAGUCUCCACCUAUUUACGCCUAUUAUCAGUUGAUCACAUUUUUUUUGUUUUUUUUUUUUUUUUUUUGUUUUUUUUUCUUUUUUUUUGUUUUUUUUGUUUUUUUUGUUUUUUGAAAUUAUUAACACAUAAAAAUAGCUAAUUUAUAAGGUUAAAAUAUAUUCAUAGCAAAUUUACAUAAAAGGAACAAAAAAAAAAAAAAAAAAAAAAAAGGUAGCAAUGUAUACAUACAUCCAUAAAGUUCAUAUGGAGACAAUACUAAAAUAUGUUAUAUAGUUAAGAGUAAACAAAUAUAUUUAAAAAAAAACAAACAAGCAGUCAUAUGUUGACAUAUAAAAAAACAAGUAGUAAAGUAACAAUGAUGUAAUCAUUAUUUCGUUUAUAAUAAUUAUAUAUGCAUUCAACGUAGGAAUGUUUUUUUUUUUUUUUUUUUUUUUUUUUUUUUUAUUUUUUUUUUUUUUUUUUUUUCUCCCUCUUAUAAACUUUUUUUUUAUAAAGUUUUUAAUACAUAAAUUAAUGUAUAUAUAUUUAUGUACAUAUGCGCAGUAUAUAUACAUAUAUAUAUAGGUGUAUAUAUAUAUUUUUAUUUUUUUAUUUUUUUUUUUUUUAUUUUAUUUUUUUAGUUAAUUAUUUUUUUUUUUUUUCAAAAUGAGUUAUAAGAAAAUAUUACAAUAUUAUUUUUUUUUAACAGUUUUAACGUUCGCAUACGAGCUUAUUAAUAAAAAUCUCACUGACUGCA